rnacentral:rRNA from 1 species
CUACGGGGUGCAGCAGUGGGGAAUAUUGGACAAUGGGGGCAACCCUGAUCCAGCCAUGCCGCGUGAGUGAUGAAGGCCUUCGGGUUGUAAAGCUCUUUUGGCGGGGACGAUGAUGACGGUACCCGCAGAAUAAGCCCCGGCUAACUUCGUGCCAGCAGCCGCGGUAAGACGAAGGGGGCAGGCGUUGUUCGGAAUUACUGGGCGUAAAGCGAGUGUAGGCGGCGAGCCAAGUCGGGUGUGAAAGCCUCGAGCUCAACUCGAGAAAUGCAUUCGGUACUGGCCUGCUAGAGGACCGGAGAGGAUAGUGGAAUUCCCAGUGUAGUGGUGAAAUACGUAGAGAUUGGGAAGAACACCAGUGGCGAAGGCGGCUAUCUGGACGGUUACUGACGCUAAGACUCGAAAGCGUGGGGAGCAAACAGGAUUAGAUACCCCCGUAGUC